rnacentral:rRNA from 1 species
UACAGAGGCCCCGAGCGUUACUGAGAAUCACUGGGUUUAAAGGGUGCGUAGGUGGCGCGUUAAGUCCGUUGUGAAAUCCCUUGGCUCAACCAAGGAAAUGCUUCGGAUACUGGCGUGCUUGAGGCUAGUAGGGGUCACUGGAACUGACGGUGGAGCGGUGAAAUGCGUAGAUAUCGUCAGGAACGCCGAUGGUGAAGACAGGUGACUGGGGCUAGUUCUGACACUGAGGCACGAAAGCGUGGGGAGCGAACGGG